rnacentral:rRNA from 1 species
GACGAACGCUGGCGGCGUGCUUAACACAUGCAAGUCGAACGGAAAGGCCCUUCGGGGUACUCGGGUGGCGAACGGGUGAGUAACACGUGGGUGAUCUGCCCUGCACUUUGGGAUAAGCCUGGGAAACUGGGUCUAAUACCGAAUAGGACCACGCGCUUCAUGGUGUGUGGUGGAAAGCUUUUGCGGUGUGGGAUGGGCCCGCGGCCUAUCAGCUUGUUGGUGGGGUAAUGGCCUACCAAGGCGACGACGGGUAGCCGGCCUGAGAGGGUGACCGGCCACACUGGGACUGAGAUACGGCCCAGACUCCUACGGGAGGCAGCAGUGGGGAAUAUUGCACAAUGGGCGCAAGCCUGAUGCAGCGACGCCGCGUGAGGGAUGACGGCCUUCGGGUUGUAAACCUCUUUCAAUAGGGACGAAGCGCAAGUGACGGUACCUAUAGAAGAAGCACCGGCCAACUACGUG